AGCACUUAGUUAAUGUUAUGUUAUUGAAUUAUUAUGAGCAGUGCUGUACAGAAGUCUCUUAAAUUCUACUGCUCUGUAGGAAGAAGACAUGGCAGACCUUCAAACCACUCACUGGGCAAUAGGCCUGACAAAGUUCAGCACUGCCCAUUCAUCCUCUACAGGCAGUGCCAUCCGCCUGCGCCUGCCUUUUAGAAUACAGACAUCUAACUGCUUGAUACUGGGCUAGAGCCAGCCAAUGCAUUUCUCACAGGCCAGCCAACAGCUGUUCGAUGAUUUCCAAAUGUUAUGAACCUAUGCUUGAUUUGUUCUCGUUACCUACAAGUGAAAAGCUCUGUGUUGUCCUGUGUCACCAAUCUUGCCCUACAGCUCUGCAGGCAUAGAUAAAACAGACACAGAUGGAGAGGCACAUCAGCCAUGUGUAAAAGUGACCUACUAAUCAUUUCAUCCCAGAAUCUAUCCCUCAUUUCUCAUGCAGCAAAGCUGCUUAGAUAGCUUGUAACUGCUUAUAUGAACCAGACAACUCUAUCUAUUCUUUUACAGAGGUCAAGUAAAGCUGGGUCUAAUUCCUAGUGCUGCUACAGGCUUCCUGUGUGACUUGAAUGGGCCAGUCCACCAGUAUACAAUGUUUUCCCAUCUGUAAUACAGGCAUAGAAACAGUUUUGGUCAGGAAGUCUGAUGGCUCUGUAAGCACAAAUCACGCAAUAAGCAGCAGCACAUUUGUUGAAAUUUUUAUGCUUGGCAUUGCAUAAAUGCAGCAGAAUAAAGUAGCUUUCCUACUCUAAAAGGAGAAGCCUUGAAAAAUCCGGAGAGGAGAAUGAUGCACAGAUUAAGAAUAUCCCACUAUUCCUAGUUGGAGCUGAGAGAUAAGAGAGACUAAUCGUCUCCAGGACAUAAGGCAGAUUGCCUAUCCCAUCUCAUCAGUCACACUUGCCAGUCAACCUCUUUACCGAUAAGCCCAUCUGGGAGGGGACUGGGAAGCAGGAUGUAGAACAGGAGGCGAUUAAGGCAAGCACAAUUAUUGGGCAAUUACAAAGCAGUGGAUGGGAAUAAGCUGCAUGCUGCUUGCUGGAGAUAGGAGGCAAUACUUCUCCCCCCACCAAAAACCAGACAGGAAUAGGAUGAGGCUGUGCUCCUUAUUCUGAAGGGAAACACAUUUUCAGUUGUUAUACAUUAUCUGGACUGGGGAGAGGACGGAAGCAAACAAAGGUAAGUUUGGACAUCCAAAGAUACAAGGGUUAGUCAAAAAAUUUCCUUAUAGUUUAAGUAAUAGCCACCCAGUACCAUCUGAAACAAGUUACGGGCUUAAAAUAUCAAAGCAUACAACUCAAAUACACAGCUGAUUAAUGGAGAUAAGGCAUAACACACCGAGACAAAGAUGAAGAAUACAGACCAGUCUCAAAGACUCUUCUGCAUGCAAGCAAAACUGAAGAAACACAUCCAGCAGUUCUACACUGAAGAAGUCAAGGAGACACUGGAGGGACAAAAUGGAACAAAUUGGGUUUUGCUGCAAGCCAUGUGAAAAAAUGUUUCAUGUUUCACAAGGUAAAACGUACUGAGGAAUGCAGCACCAAUUGGAAACAAAGGCAGACAAGCCAGUUGCCAGGACUCUCCCUCCUGAAACAAGUUCUGCUUCCAACAGGUAAGCCUGUUGGGCUGAUGUAUUCACACAAUUAUAACUGGAAAAUUUCAGUGGAGACAAACUCUGAAGCUCUUUGGGCAGGUGAGUAGUACUAUACUUGCAGUGUAAAGUAUCUUGCAAAAUUCUGGGUGCUAUAAAAUCAGCAAGAAAAGCAAUAUCCAUUUUACUGCUUUCAGUAACAGCAACUUUGAUA